rnacentral:rRNA from 1 species
UACGUAGGGUGCGAGCGUUAAUCGGAAUUACUGGGCGUAAAGCGCGUGUAGGCGGCCUUGCAAGUCGGAUGUGAAAGCCCACGGCUCAACCGUGGAAGUGCAUCCGAAACUGCAUAGCUUGAGUCUCGGAGAGGAAGGUGGAAUGCUUGGUGUAGAGGUGAAAUUCGUAGAUAUCAAGCGGAACACCGGUGGCGAAGGCGGCCUUCUGGACAGUGACUGACGCUGAGACGCGAAAGCGUGGGGAGCAAACAGG